AUGUGGUGGAUGAAGUACAAGUUCCGGAAGAGGCCCCAAUUGAUUUUCUUUAUGGGCCUGAAGUUGAGAAAAAUAGUAACGUGGUUGGUGAAGUACACGUACAAGAUAUAAAUGUGACUGAAAGUGAAGCAUUGCUUGAUGAGGUUGAAUCUGAAACUGUCAAUAUUGAGGUUGGGCUAGGAGAUAUAUCAAAUUUCGAAUGUGAAGGGGCUGAAUCAAAUCAAGAAAGCAGUACCGACUCUCAAGAAGAUGUUAUUCCUGAUGAGGAUGACUCUGAGGUUGAUGAAGAGUUGAGAUCUCUUAGAAAUGAAAGGAGAAACAAAGUGAAAAGAAAGAACAAACCUAUUCAAACUAAGGAAAUAAGGCUUGGAACUGUUGGUAUUGAUAGAGGAUUUGAAGACAUAAGAAGGAGGAAAACUGCUAGAUACAGUGGAAGAUUAGGGGCUGAUAACAAUAUAUAGAUAACUCGAAACUGGACAAUAAUGACAAUAGGAAUGAAUUCGAUCCAGAUGUUGUAAGUGGAGUUGAUUUACCAGCAAGAAGAAAGAGUAAAAAGAGAGGUUGGUUGAAAGGGUGCAGGAAAUUAUUGAUUUUGAUGGAUGCUUUCUGAAAGGUGCUUGCAAAGGUGAAUUGUUAGUUGCUGUUGGUAGAAAUGGAAAUCAACAGAUAUUUCCAAUUGCAUGGGCUGUUGUUAAUACAGGGACAAAAUAUAGUUGGAGUUUUUUCUCAACAAAUUGAUACAAGAUUUGGACUUAGGAUCUAGGCAUGGACUAACUGUGAUGUCAGAUAUGCAGAAGGGCCUUGUACAAGUUUUGGGUGAGUUGCUACCAUAUUGUGAGCAAAGAAGGUGUGCUAGACAUAUCUGAUUCAGUUGGCAUCAAAACUAGAGAGGUGAAGAAAGAAGGAACCAAUUCUGGAGGUGUGCAAAGUCAAGUUUUGAAGUAAAUUUUCAAGAUGAGAUGGAUAAACUCAACAAACUAACCUGGUACUUCAAGUGAAAGAGUUAUCACUCCAGGAGCUUAUAAGGAUGCAUCUCCAACAAAUAUUGAUAUUGGUUAUAAGCCUUGAGGACUGAACUAGAAUGGUGGAGAUGUUGUCACAACUUCACAAUUGCAGCGUAUGAGUCAAUCAAGGAAAAAUUAAUGUGCAGCAUCUAGUGCACCUACGGAUGCUUAAUUUUAGCACCAACUUUAUAUUUUUGGAUGUGUAAUCAGCAACAAAAAUUAUUAUUGACUGCUUUGAAUGUCUUUUUGUGUAUUUUAAGUACAUUAACUGAUUUGUCUUGAUGAUUAGUUGUCAUGGAUUGGUAUAUUUGUUUGCAGCUCAUUAGA